rnacentral:rRNA from 1 species
UACGUAGGGGGCGAGCGUUGUCCGGAUUCAUUGGGCGUAAAGAGCUCGUAGGCGGCUUGGCAAGUCGGAUGUGAAAACUCCAGGCUCAACCUGGAGCCGCCAUUCGAUACUGCCAUGGCUAGAGUCCGGUAGGGGAGUGUGGAAUUCCCGGUGUAGCGGUGAAAUGCGCAGAUAUCGGGAGGAACACCGAUGGCGAAGGCAGCUACCUGGACAAUUGCUGACGCUCAGGCACGAAAGCGUGGGGAGCAAAAGGG